rnacentral:rRNA from 1 species
UGGGGAAUAUUGGACAAUGGGCGAAAGCCUGAUCCAGCCAUGCCGCGUGUGUGAAGAAGGUCUUCGGAUUGUAAAACACUUUAAGUUGGGAGGAAGGGCAUUAACCUAAUACGUUAGUGUUUUGACGUUACCGACAGAAUAAGCACCGGCUAACUCUGUGCCAGCAGCCGCGGUAAUACAGAGGGUGCAAGCGUUAAUCGGAAUUACUGGGCGUAAAGCGCGCGUAGGUGGUUUGUUAAGUUGGAUGUGAAAUCCCCGGGCUCAACCUGGGAACUGCAUUCAAAACUGACUGACUAGAGUAUGGUAGAGGGUGGUGGAAUUUCCUGUGUAGCGGUGAAAUGCGUAGAUAUAGGAAGGAACACCAGUGGCGAAGGCGACCACCUGGACUAAUACUGACACUGAGGUGCGAAAGCGUGGGGAGCAAACA